GGUCAAGUGAAGAAGCGCAUACGGUGGAUGCCUUGGCAGUCAGAGGCGAUGAAAGACGUGGUAGCCUGCGAAAAGCUUCGGGGAGUCGGCAAACAGACUUUGAUCCGGAGAUGUCUGAAUGGGGGAACCCAGCCAUCAUAAGAUGGUUACCUUACACUGAAUACAUAGGUGUAAGGGGCGAACCAGGGGAACUGAAACAUCUAAGUACCCUGAGGAAAAGAAAUCAACCGAGAUUCCCUUAGUAGUGGCGAGCGAACGGGGACUAGCCCUUAAGUGGCUUUGAGAUUAGCGGAACGCUCUGGAAAGUGCGGCCAUAGUGGGUGAUAGCCCUGUACGCGAAAAUCUCUUAGUCAUGAAAUCGAGUAGGACGGAGCACGAGAAACUUUGUCUGAAUAUGGGGGGACCAUCCUCCAAGGCUAAAUACUACUGACUGACCGAUAGUGAACUAGUACCGUGAGGGAAAGGCGAAAAGAACCCCGGAGAGGGGAGUGAAAUAGAUCCUGAAACCGUAUGCGUACAAGCAGUGGGAGCCCACUUUGUUGGGUGACUGCGUACCUUUUGUAUAAUGGGUCAGCGACUUAUUUUCAGUGGCGAGCUUAACCGAAUAGGGGAGGCGUAGCGAAAGCGAGUCUUAAUAGGGCGUCUAGUCGCUGGGAAUAGACCCGAAACCGGGCGAUCUAUCCAUGGGCAGGUUGAAGGUUGGGUAACACUAACUGGAGGACCGAACCGACUACCGUUGAAAAGUUAGCGGAUGACCUGUGGAUCGGAGUGAAAGGCUAAUCAAGCUCGGAGAUAGCUGGUUCUCCUCGAAAGCUAUUUAGGUAGCGCCUCAUGUAUCACUGUAGGGGGUAGAGCACUGUUUCGGCUAGGGGGUCAUCCCGACUUACCAAACCGAUGCAAACUCCGAAUACCUACAAGUGCCGAGCAUGGGAGACACACGGCGGGUGCUAACGUCCGUCGUGAAAAGGGAAACAACCCAGACCGUCAGCUAAGGUCCCAAAGUUAUGGUUAAGUGGGAAACGAUGUGGGAAGGCUUAGACAGCUAGGAGGUUGGCUUAGAAGCAGCCACCCUUUAAAGAAAGCGUAAUAGCUCACUAGUCGAGUCGGCCUGCGCGGAAGAUGUAACGGGGCUCAAACCAUACACCGAAGCUACGGGUAUCACGUAAGUGAUGCGGUAGAGGAGCGUUCUGUAAGCCUGUGAAGGUGAGUUGAGAAGCUUGCUGGAGGUAUCAGAAGUGCGAAUGCUGACAUGAGUAACGACAAUGGGUGUGAAAAACACCCACGCCGAAAGACCAAGGUUUCCUGCGCAACGUUAAUCGACGCAGGGUUAGUCGGUCCCUAAGGCGAGGCUGAAAAGCGUAGUCGAUGGAAAACAGGUUAAUAUUCCUGUACUUCUGGUUAUUGCGAUGGAGGGACGGAGAAGGCUAGGCCAGCUUGGCGUUGGUUGUCCAAGUUUAAGGUGGUAGGCUGAGAUCUUAGGUAAAUCCGGGAUCUUAAGGCCGAGAGCUGAUGACGAGUU
rnacentral:rRNA from 1 species